rnacentral:rRNA from 1 species
AUAUUAAAAAGAAAAAUUUAAUUUUUGUACCUUGUGUAUCAGGGUUAAUUAAUUAAAUAUUCUCGAAUUUAAAAGAGCUAAUUUUAUUGUAAAAUAAAUAUUUAAAAUUAUUAGUUAGAAAUGAAACGUUAUUCGUUUUUAAAUAUAUCUAGUUUUUAAAGAAAUGAAUUUAAUUCAUUUAUUGAUAAUUAAAAUUUUUAGGGAUAAGCUUAAAAAAAAAAUUUUAUAAUAAUUUAUUAUUUUAAAAAUUAUAGGAUUAAAAAUUUCUAUAAAUAAAAAAUUGUUAUAAUUAAUUUAUUUAAAUAUUUUAUUUAAAUAUAGGUUUUAAUUUUAGAAUCUUAGAAAUAAUGAUUAAAUUAGUAAGGUUAAUUUAAGGAAUUCGGCAAAUUUAUUUUUCACCUGUUUAAUAAAAACAUGUCCUUUUGAAUAUAAUUUAAGGUCUAAUCUGCCCACUGAUUAAAUGGCCGCGGUAUUUUGACCGUGCAAAGGUAGCAUAAUAAUUAGUUUCUUAAUUAGAAGCUGGAAUGAAUGAUUGGAUGAGAAAAUAACUGUCUCUAGAAUUUUAUUUUUAAGUUAAAAAGCUUAAAUGUUAUUAAAAGACGAGAAGACCCUAUAGAGUUUUUUUGUUGGGGUGAUAGAAAAAUUUAAUUAACUUUUUUUGUUGAUGAUUUUUUGAUCCAUGAUUAAAAGAAUAAAUUACCUUAGGGAUAACACCCGA